UAGAGAAUCAGAUUCCAAAAUCUAAUUUUGGAAGACGAUGAGAUAAGCUUCACAUACAAAUUUAUCGGUGCAGACGAGAUUCAACUAGACAACACACAUAGAUCCUACUUAUUCACAAGCAAUGAAGUCAUCAACUGGGAAAAAAAAAAGAUAUACUUUCAAGCCAUACAUUGGGCAGCUUCUCCAGGUCAUCCACCCCUCUCAUCGUGAUUUCUGUUCACCAAAAGGUUAUCCCCAUUGCAGAAAUUACAUCACAAACUUCUAUGAGUUUCACAGAUAUAUACACUUGCUCAACUUAUUCAUGGAAUAGAGUAAUAUAGACGUAAUUUUCAUUUUCCUCUGCAAUUGGAGUUCCCUACAUUGUGAUAAAAAUGCUAAUAUCAAAUGAUAUAGAAAAGUUUUGUGUACUGAAA